rnacentral:lncRNA from 1 species
CAGAACAAAGCCUUACAGUGUAUAAAAAUAGCUACGUAAAAAAUUUACAUAAAGGCAAACAAAAAGAAAUCUUCAGUGCAGACAUUUACAAAAAAAUAGUUUAAACAGAACACAACAUGGUGACCUAUUAUCAUGGCUGUUGCCAAAAUUAGUUAUUCUGUGGGUUGGGUUUUUUUUUGUUUUGUUUUGUUUUUAGCUUGAGAUAAUUGUGUCUAAAAUCCGCUGAAAACUUGGUAGUAUGAUCUGUUUAAUACUUGAACCAUGAAUAGCUGUCACUUCUUUGUAUACGUUUAAAUACAAUCCACGUUCAUGCUUCAAUUGGUCUAUAUGUAUUCUCUGGAAUGAUGACUGACACGUUUUGUCUCUUAAGUCUCAGAUUUAUGAUUGUUUUCUUCUAGUUUUUUAUUUUCUUCUAUAUUUCCGAGAUCUUUGUCUACAUGUUUUGAUGCUGUCUUUGAUUUCUUCACAUAGAGCCAGUAGACAACACCUGCAACCAGGGCAACCAGCAGAAGACCGACUACAAUCCCCA